GUGAGGAAUAUUGGACAAUGGGCGCAAGCCUGAUCCAGCCAUGCCGCGUGCAGGAAGGCGCAUCUAUGGUGUGUAAACUGCUUUUGUACGGGAAGAAACACUCCCUCGUGAGGGAGCUUGACGGUACCGUAAGAAUAAGGAUCGGCUAACUCCGUGCCAGCAGCCGCGGUAAUACGGAGGAUCCAAGCGUUAUCCGGAAUCAUUGGGUUUAAAGGGUCCGUAGGCGGUUUAAUAAGUCAGUGGUGAAAGCCCAUCGCUCAACGAUGGAACGGCCAUUGAUACUGUUAGACUUGAAUUACAAGGAAGUAACUAGAAUAUGUAGUGUAGCGGUGAAAUGCUUAGAUAUUACAUGGAAUACCAAUUGCGAAGGCAGGUUACUACUUGUGGAUUGACGCUGAUGGACGAAAGCGUGGGGAGCGAACAGGAUUAGAUACCCGAGUAGUCC
rnacentral:rRNA from 1 species